rnacentral:piRNA from 1 species
AGGCCAUUUAGCUGACUCUUCAGGUCAUC